GAUCACGUGGCCUAAUGGAUAAGGUGUCCGACUUCGAAUCGGGAGAUUGUGGGUUCGAUUCUCAUCGUGAUCG